GAUGAACGCUGGCGGCGUGCCUAAUACAUGCAAGUCGAGCGAACAGACGAGGAGCUUGCUCCUCUGACGUUAGCGGCGGAGGGGUGAGUAACACGUGGAUAACCUACCUAUAAGACUGGGAUAACUUCGGGAAACCGGAGCUAAUACCGGAUAAUAUAUUGAACCGCAUGGUUCAAUAGUGAAAGACGGUUUUGCUGUCACUUAUAGAUGGAUCCGCGCCGCAUUAGCUAGUUGGUAAGGUAACGGCUUACCAAGGCAACGAUGCGUAGACGACCUGAGAGGGUGAUCGGCCACACUGGAACUGAGACACGGUCCAGACUCCUACGGGAGGCAGCAGUAGGGAAUCUUCCGCAAUGGGCGAAAGCCUGACGGAGCAACGCCGCGUGAGUGAUGAAGGUCUUCGGAUCGUAAAACUCUGUUAUUAGGGAAGAACAAAUGUGUAAGUAACUAUGCACGUCUUGACGGUACCUAAUCAGAAAGCCACGGCUAACUACGUG
rnacentral:rRNA from 1 species